rnacentral:misc_RNA from 1 species
UGGUUCCCGCAUCGAUGAAGAACGCAGCGAAACGCGAUAGCUAAUGUGAAUUGCAGAAUUCAGUGAAUCAUCGAGUCUUUGAACGCACAUUGCGCCUUUUGGUAUUCCGAGAGGCACGCCUGUUCGAGCGUCAGUGAAAACCCUUCCGGGUCUGUUUCGUACGGACCACGGGACCUUGGCGAGGGGACACGGGUCGGCCGCGCCUCCGUGCGCUGCCGGCCCUUCCCCCGCUUAAACUCGUGGAAAGCUAGCGGGCCCACGUCCACGACCGCGAAGACUAGUAAAAUUUUUCCUUGUCAUCCGGCUGUGGGAUCGGCCCUGCCUUUUAAACACGAACCGGUUUGCUUCAAACCGUUCCUGACUCUUGACCUCGAAUCAGACGAGGAUACCCGCUGA